AGAGCAUGGCAAAGUAAAAGGCUUGGGGAGUGCCAAGUUAGAUCUAUUUUUAACUGCCAUUAAAUCCAAAACAGAAUUUGGACUAGAAAUUCUGAAAUAUUUCAUAGUUCCAUAGCCAUCAAGUUAUUUAAGCAAAGCAGUACUGCCAUUUAUAAAUUAACAAUUAUUAUAUCACAUGUUGAUGUGAGGUGAUAUUUAUAAGUCUCCUAUCUCUAGAGCAGAGGUUACAAGCUGAAAUACUCACGGGGUGAGCGGACAACUGGGGAGAAUUAGAAGAAACUGGACUGCCGUAGCCCCAUCUAAUGGGAGUAACUAACCUACACGGCUACAAUCCUUUGUUGACUUGUGAAAUGAUGCACCCAUGCAGGCAAAUCUUCUGGUAUAUCAGGAAAAGCCAGAGAUUUCAGAUUUUAUAUGUAUUAUCUCUCAAUUUUUAAAGUUCUAUCAACUAAUUUAAUUAUUAAGAAAACAUUGCAGGCCAACCCAAACACUUCUGCAAGCUAGAUAAUGGCCUUCAGCUGCUAUUUAGUAAUCUCUUCUCCAGAGUAUAUAAUAUCAAAUCAGACUUAAGAUUAUUAAUGUAUUUGACAUAAUUAUUUAAGAACAGUGAGACUGUAUAAUCUUUCCAUUCUGUUCAUAUAACAACUUCUUAAAAAUUACUUUGCCUUUGCUGGGGUAAUAAAUGCUUCUAGUCUGUCAUUUUUUUUUCCAUGCUGGCCUUCAUAAGUAACAUUAAGUUCUAAGGUAACAUAGUUUGUUAAGAAGUCUGUAAAAGAAACUGUUCAGCCAAAUUGGGUAAUGCCUACCCAGGUUUUUUAAAUUGGGGUUUAAGUUGUUAAAACACAGACAAUUUGAUUUGUUGCACCAUGUUGUUAGUGUGGCUUAAUCUUGACAACCAAGUAAAUUAGCAUAAAUGUAAAUGUGAUGAAUGAUACAAUAUCUGGCUUACAUGAGGGUGUUUCAGCACAUUUGAAAAGUCUCAUGUGCUAUAUGUAGCUUUUUAAGACCACAUAAUGUUGGCAUCAAUUUCUCCUUAAUCUGGGCUUAGAUCAUUAGUAUUAGUUCUAAUUAAGUCCUACUUGUGAGGAAAAGAGACUGAGGCUCAGACUAUCUUAAGAAAAAAGAUUUGGUUUUGUUUGUAAGUAAGGAUAACCUCCUUGUUUCAACAGGAGGUUAACCUCCUUCAACAAGGAGGUUAUCAGGAACUGCAGCAAUUCUAGGGGACUGUUGCUGUGUCCUGCUCUCUCUGUGCAUUUCUGUUUUAUGGGAAAUCUUUGCAUCUGGUUUGUUCUCUUUCACAUUCUUCCCUUCUUUUCUGUUUUCUUUUCUGAUUCUUUUUUGUUUUCUUACUCUGUAUCCUCUACUUAAAUGGAUUCUGCUUUCCAAGAGCUUUGGCCUCCAAUGCUCCCCUUCUAUGGCCUCAGUUCUGCCUCCUAGCUGCUUUUUAUGUGCCCUUGCAGCUUCUGCAUCAGCUUCUCAUUGCCUUACUUAUUAUUUACUCACUUUAGAUUGCUUAGAGAUGAUGUGAUUGGUCUAUGUGUGUCACACCCACGACGACCCAGUCUGCCCUGGCAGCAGGGCUGUGAUUGCGGUGUGGAUCUCAGAAAGGAUGUGAGCAUCAGAGGCCUUCUAUCGGAUAAUGCUUCCUUUUGUUUCCUUUUUCUUUGUCUCUAAAUCUAUUUUAGACAACUACUAGUCAUUUUCUUUGCAUAUAAUAUGCAAAAAUAUGUUUGGACAUGUAUAGCUUUAUAAUUGGUUCAUACAGAUCACUGAAGGAUUGAGAUACAAGUGUCAUGAACUCUUUGAAAUACUGAAAUAUCUUUUUUAAUGUUAAACUGGUGCUUUCCUUAUUUUCCAGUAACGAGUGCAUGUUAGUGGCAGAUCUCUACUUUUUAACUCCAAACCUAACAGUUUUAUAUUUUGAGGUCUCGCAUAAAUGUGGAGGGAGUAAGAUUUGGGUGAGGGUACAAAGCUUUUAAGUCCUACCUCCCUUGCUCCUCUGCUGCUCUUUUCUCCCCUUGAGCUCUGUAGAGCACAGUUUGAAAACUCCAGUAUAUUUCACAGUUGUGAUUCCAUGUGGUAAGCAUAAUAUGAAAUCAGGAAACACCACUGUUUAUAAGUUAGAAAAGACCUAAGAUCAAUUAAUGAUUAGCUUUUAGUAUCCUCUAGGUCUGAUAUCACUCAUGUAUCCCACAUUAUUAUGAUAUAUAUUUUAUGUAUAUAUCAGAAUAUAUACUAUGUAUCAUGUAUGCUACAUAUUUUAUAAUUAUACAUCCCUAUGUAUUUAGUGAAAGUACUAUUAUUCUACUACACUAGAGACUAAUUGCACUAGUUCUUUAACAUAAAAGAACUUAAUAGAACAGAAUAAAGUAGGUUCUUAUUUCUGGAGAUUGUGUUCAUUCUUUUAAAAUUUAACUGAACUGUUCGGAGACAAUUGUGAGUUCGUUGGCCACAUUAUUUAUUUGGCAUAUUUGCUUAGAUACAAAAUGAACUUAAAAAGAGCACCCAGGUUGAAAUACCCAUAAAGUUUUUGCCAGAAUCAAGAAUAGACUUAGCAAAACAGUAAAGAGGUUCCUAAAGUCAUAGUAUUCAAAAAAAUUUUGCUUUUCUUUAGUACUAUUUUACUUUUUUUUUUUUUUUUUUUUUUGAGACAGAGUCUCACUCUGUCGCCCAGGCUGGAGUGCAGUGGCGCGAUCUCGGCUCAUUGCAAGCUCCGCCUCCGGGGUUCACGCCAUUCUCCUGCCUCAGCCUCCCGAGUAGCUGGGACUACAAGCACCCGCCACCACGCCCAGCUAAUUUUUUGUAUUUUUAGUAGAGACGGGGUUUCACCGUGUUAGCCAGGAUGGUCUCGACCUCCUGACCUCGUGAUCUACCUGCCUUGGCCUCCCAAAGUGCUGGGAUUACAGGCAUGAGCCACCGCGCCCGGCCUGUACUAUUCUACUUUUUAAAUAGUUAUGAUACAGGAGAGGAGGCUUGAGAAUGUAUUUAACAUUACAAGGCAAACUUUGUAAACUCACUUUACAAAGUUAUGACUUCAUAAACUCACUUUACAAAGUUAUAACUUCAAGAAAAACACAUUUUAAAAUCCAAAUUCAGAUCUCAAAGCAAAGUUUAUCCACAAACACUUAAACAAAAAUAAUGUCUCGUUUGGUCCUAUAAUUUUUCUCAGUAUUCAUAGCAUCAGAUGAAUCUAUUUUAAUUUCAAAUUUCAUGACAUCAGAUAAAUGACUUAAUCUAUUAUUCAGUAUCUCUUAUAUAAAACUCAUUAUAAGCAAAUCUAAUUCUAUAAAAUAUGGCUUGAUUAGUUUCAGAGCUCCAUAUAACUAGUUCAUUGCCCUAUAUGUCUGGUUUUUGAGAUUGUCUUUGGAAGGAUCUAUAAGAAACCAGUAACAUUCUAGUCUUGUUUAUAGCCCCAAUUAUAGAUGUCAGCUGCUGUAGUUUGCGUAUAGAUGAGCUUUUCAAAUACUUAUGAGUAGUUGAAACUGCAGAAAUACAUAGAUGUUCUGAACACUUAAACAUAAUUAUCUUAGACCCUUUGCCUGUCACUCAAUUCAUGAUAGUAAUAUUUUCAUCAUACUAUUUCUGUCACUGUAGUGUUUGUUUUGAGCCAAGUUUUGUGUGUAUUAAGAGAAACGUAUUUUAAGCAUACUGUAUUAAAUAUUGGGAAAGCAGAUGAGUCACUGGAAAUACAGGACAAAUUAUAUUUUGACCUCUUCAAUUGAAAAUUUUAUAUUUCUGAUGGAAAGGGAGUUUUGUAAAGUUUGGGAAAUUUAUCUGUUGUAGCUUCUCUUUAUGUCAUGACAUAAAUCUAGUAUAUUAAAUCGCUAAACUUAUCUAAGGCCCCCAUCUCUGUCUAGUCUCUGUCUAGCAUGAUGCAGCAGCUGUGUGAGCCCCACAUGCUGUCUUUAUGUUGUUAUGUUUGGCCUUGUCCAUUCACGCCUUUCUGCAACAGUCUGAACAUUAGUUACUAUACUGACUUUUUUUUGUUAAGCCAAUGCAAGGUUUUGUAUGGUGCUUUUAUAUACCACUUUGGUUAAAGUACCUUCAAGCUUAGAUCCUUAAUAUUGUGUGGGGAGCAUACAGAAGACUAAUCCUGAGAGUUUCCCUGGGUGACUCUUUUGGCACAGUGAUGGAUUUGCUCUAAACAUUUUUUCAAGAGAUCUUUUAAAGUUUCUGAAUGUGAUUAAAUAUUAACAUGCACUUUUUAAAAUUUUUAUUCUUUUGUAUUUCAAUUUGUAUUUUAGUUUCAGGGGGGUGCAUGUGCAGGUUUGUUACCUGUGUAUAUUGUGUGAUGCUGAGAUUUAGGGUAUGAAUGAUCCUGUCACUCAGGAACUGAACAUAGCACCCAAUCGUUAGUUUUUCAACCCUUUCCACCUGCCUCCUUCCCCUCUCUGGUAGUACCCAGUGUCUGUUGUUGCCAUCUUUAUGUCCAUGUUUAGCUCUCACUUGUAAGUGAGAACAUGUGAUAUGUGGUUUUCUGUUCCUGCGUUUAUUUCCUUAGGAUAAUGGCCUCCACCUGCAUCUGUGUUGCUGCAAAGGAAAUGAUUUCAUUCUUUUUAUGGCAGUGUAGUAUAUGUACCACAUUUUCUUGAUCCAGUCCACUGUUGAUGGGCACCUAGGUUGAUUCCAUGUCUUUGCUAUUGUAAACACUGCUGCAGUGAACAUGCGAGUUCGUGUGUCUUUUUGGUAGAAAGAUUUGUUUUCUUUUGGAUAUAUACCCAGUAAUGGAAUUGCUGGGUUUAAUGGUAGUUCUGUUUUAAGUUCUUUGAGAAGUCUCCAAACUGCUUUCCACAGUGGCUGAACUAAUUUUACGUUCCCACCAGCAGUAUAUAAGCAUUCCCUUUUCUUCACAGCCUCACCAGCAUCUGUUGUUUUUUGACUGUUUAGUAAUAGCUGUUUUGACUAGUGUGAGAUGAUAUCUCAUUGUAGUUUUGAUUUGCAUUUCUCUGAUGAUUAGUGAUGGAGUAUUUUUUCAUACAUUUGUUGGCCACUUGUAUGUCUCAUUUCUAGAAGUAUCAGUUCAUGUCUUUUACCAUUUUUUAAUGGGGUUACUUGUUUUUUGCUUGUUGAUUUGAGUUUCUUGUGGAUUCUGGAUAUUACCUCUUUGUCAGAUGCAUAGUUUGUGCAUAUUUUCUCCCAUUCUGUAGGUUGACUGUUUACUCUGUUGAUAGUUUCUUUUGCUGUGCAAAACCUGUUUAGUUUAAUUAGGUCCCACUUCUCAAUUUCUGGUUUGUUGCAAUUGCUUUUGAAGAGUUGGUCAUAAUGCCUACUUUCUUGAGGGUUAUUAUCAGGAGGAGAUAUUGGAUUUUAUCGAAAGCUUUUUCCAGGUCUAUCGAGAUGAUCAUAUGUUUUUUGUUUUUAAUUGUUUACAUGGUGAAUCACAUUUAUUGAUUUUUUGUUUGUUUGUUUGUUUGUUUUUAAUUAUACUUUAAGUUUUAGGGUACAUGUGCACAAUGUGCAGGUUAGUUACAUAUGUAUACAUGUGCCAUGCUGGUGUGCUGCACCUAUUAACUCGUCAUUUAACAUUAGGUAUCCUAAUACCUAAUGUUAGGAGAUAACAUAUCUCCUAAUGCUAUCCUUCCACCCUCCCCCCACCCCACAACAGUCCCCAGAGUGUGAUGUUCCCCUUCCUGUGUCCAUGUGUUCUCAUUGUUCAAUUCCCAUCUAUGAGUGAGAACAUGCGGUGUUUGGUUUUUUGUCCUUGCAAUAGUUUACUGAGAAUGAUGAUUUCCAAUUUCAUCCAUGUCCCUACAAAGGACAUGAACUCAUCAUUUUUUAUGGCUGCAUAGUAUACCAUGGUGUAUAUGUGCCACAUUUUCUUAAUCCAGUCUAUCAUUGUUGGACAUUUGGGUUGGUUCCAAGUCUUUGCUAUUGUGAAUAGUGCUGCAGUAAACAUACGUGUGCAUGUGUCUUUAUAGCAGCAUGAUUUAUAGUCCUUUGGGUAUAUACCCAGUAAUGGGAUGGCUGGGUCAAAAGGUAUUUCUAGUUCUAGAUCCCUGAGGAAUCGCCACACUGACUUCCACAAUGGUUGAACUAGUUUACAGUCCCACCAACAGUGGAAAAGUGUUCCUAUUUCUCCACAUCCUCUCCAGCACCUGUUGUUUCCUGACUUUUUAAUGAUUGCCAUUCUAACUGGUGUGAGAUGGUAUCUCAUUGUGGUUUUGAUUUGCAUUUCUCUGAUGGCCAGUGAUGAUGAGCAUUUUUUCAUGUGUCUUUUGGCUGCAUAAAUGUCUUCUUUUGAGAAGUGACUGUUCAUAUCCUUUGCCCACUUUUUGAUGGGGUUAUUUGCUUCUUUCUUGUAAAUUUGUUUGAGUUAAUUGUAGAUUCUGGAUAUUAGCCCUUUGCCAGAUGAGUAGGUUGUGAAAAUUUUCUCCCAUUUUGUAGGUUGCCUGUUCACUCUGAUGGUAGUUUCUUUUGCUGUGCAGAAGCUCUUUAGUUUAAUUAGAUCCCAUUUGUCAAUUUUGGCUUUUGUUGCCAUUGCUUUUGGUGUUUUAGACAUGAAGUCUUUGCCCAUGCCUAUGUCCUGAAUGGUAAUGCCUAGGUUUUCUUCUAGGGUUUUUAUGGUUUUAGGUCUAACGUUUAAGUCUUUAAUCCAUCUUGAAUUAAUUUUUGUAUAAGGUGUAAGAAAGGGAUCCAGUUUCAGCUUUCUACAUGUGGCUAGCCAGUUUUCCCAGCACCAUUUAUUAAAUGGGGAAUCCUUUCCCCAUUGCUUGUUUAUCUCAGGUUUGUCAAAGAUCAGAUAGUUGUAGAUAUGCGGCGUUAUUUCUGAGGGCUCUGUUCUGUUCCAUUGAUCUAUAUCUCUGUUUUGGUACCAGUACCAUGCUGUUUUGGUUACUGUAGCCUUGUAGUAUAGUUAGAAGUCAGGUAGUGUGAUGCCUCCAGCUUUGUUCUUUUGGCUUAGGAUUGACUUGGCGAUGCGGGCUCUUUUUUGGUUCUAUAUGAACUUUAAAGUAGUUUUUUCCAAUUCUGUGAAGAAAGUCAUUGGUAGCUUGAUGGGGAUGGCAUUGAAUCUAUAAAUUACCUUGGGCGGUAUGGCUGUUUUCACGAUAUUGAUUCUUCCUACCCAUGAGCAUGGAAUGUUCUUCCAUUUCUUUGUAUCCUCUUUUAUUUCACUGAGCAGUGGUUUGUAGUUCUCCUUGAAGAGGUCCUUCACGUCGCUUGUAACUUGGAUUCCUAAGUAUUUUAUUGUCUUUGAAGCAAUUGUGAAUGGGAGUUCACUCAUGAUUUGGCUCUCUGUUAUUGGUGUAUAAGAAUGCUUGUGAUUUUUGUAGAUUGAUUUUGUGUCCUGAGACUUUGCUGAAGUUGCUUAUCAGCUUAAGGAGAUUUUGAGCUGAGACAGUGGGGUUUUCUAGAUAUACAAUCAUGUCAUCUGCAAACAGGGACAAUUUGACUUCCUCUUUUACUAAUUGAAUACCCUUUAUUUCCUUCUCCUGCCUAAUUGCCCUGGCCAGAACUUCCAACACUAUGUUGAAUAGGAGUGGUGAGAGAGGGCAUCCCUGUCUUGUGCCAGUUUUCAAAGGGAAUGCUUCCAGUUUUUGCCCAUUCAGUAUGAUAUUGGCUGUGGGUUUGUCAUAGAUAGCUCUUACUAUUUUGAGAUACAUCCCAUCAAUACCUAAUUUAUUGAGAGUUUUUAGCAUGAAGCAUUAUUGAAUUUUGUCAAAGGCCUUUUCUGCAUCUAUUGAGAUAAUCAUGUGGUUUUUGUCUUUGGUUCUGUUUAUAUGCUGGAUUACAUUUAUUGAUUUGCAUAUAUUGAACCAGCCUUGCAUCCCAGGGAUGAAGCCCACUUGAUCAUGGUGGAUAAGCUUUUUGAUGUGCUGCUGAAUUCGGUUUGCCAGUAUUUUAUUGAGGAUUUUUGCAUCAAUGUUCAUCAAGGAUAUUGAUCUAAAAUUCUCUUUUUUUGGUUGUGUCUCUGCCAGGCUUUGGUAUCAGGAUGAUGCUGGCCUCAUAAAAUGAGUUAGGGAGGAUUCCCUCUUUUUCUAUUGAUUGGAAUAGUUUCAGAAGGAAUGGUACCAGUUCCUCCUUGUACCUCUGGUAGAAUUCAGCUGUGAAUCCAUCUGGUCCUGGACUCUUUUUGGUUGGUAAGCUAUUGAUUAUUGCCACAAUUUCAGAUUCUGUUAUUGGUCUAUUCAGAGAUUCAACUUCUUCCUGGUUUAGUCUUGGGAGAGUGUAUGUGUCGAGGAAUGUAUCCAUUUCUUCUAGAUUUUCUAGUUUGUUUGCGUAGAGGUGUUCGUAGUAUUCUCUGAUGGUAGUUUGUAUUUCUGUGGGAUCGGUGGUGAUAUCCCCUUUAUCAUUUUUUAUUGCAUCUAUUUGAUUCUUCUCUCUUUUUUUCUUUAUUAGUCUUGCUAGCAGUCUAUCAAUUUUGUUGAUCCUUUCAAAAAACCAGCUCCUGGAUUCAUUAAUUUUUGAAGGGUUUUUUGUGUCUCUAUUUCCUUCAGUUCUGCUCUGAUUUUAGUUAUUUCUUGCCUUCUGCUGGCUUUUGAAUGUGUUUGCUCUUGCUUUUCUAGUUCUUUUAAUUGUGAUGUUAGGGUGUCAAUUUUGGAUCUUUCCUGCUUUCUCUUGUGGGCAUUUAGUGCCAUAAAUUUCCCUCUACACACUGCUUUGAAUGUGUCCCAGAGAUUCUGGUAUGUUGUGUCUUUGUUCUCAUUCGUUUCAAAGAACAUCUUUAUUUCUGCCUUCAUUUCGUUAUGUACCCAGUAGUCAUUCAGGAGCAGGUUGUUCAGUUUCCAUGUAGUUGAGUGGUUUUGAGUGAGUUUCUUAAUCCUGAGUUCUAGUUUGAUUGCACUGUGGUCUGAGAGACAGUUUGUUAUAAUUUCUGUUCUUUUACAUUUGCUUAGGAGAGCUUUACUUCCAGCUAUGUGGUCGAUUUUGGAAUAGGUGUGGUGUGGUGCUGAAAAAAAUGUAUAUUCUGUUGAUUUGGGGUGGAGAGUUCUGUAGAUGUCUAUUAGGUCCGCUUGGUGCAGAGCUGAGUUCAAUUCCUGGGUAUCCUUGUUAACUUUCUGUCUCUUUGAUCUGUCUAAUGUUGACAGUGGGGUGUUAAAGUCUCCCAUUAUUAUUGUGUGGGAGUCUAAGUCUCUUUGUAGGUCACUCAGGACUUGCUUUAUGAAUCUGGGUGCUCCUGUAUUGGGUGCAUAUAUAUUUAGGAUAGUUAGCUCUUCUUGUUGAAUUGAUGGCUUUACCAUUAUGUAAUGGCCUUCUUUGUCUCUUUUGAUCUUUGUUGGUUUAAAGUCUGUUUUAUCAGAGACUAGGAUUGCAACCCCUGCCUUUUUUUGUUUUCCAUUUGCUUGGUAGAUCUUCCUCCAUCCUUUUAUUUUGAGCCUGUGUGUGUCUCUGCAUGUGAGAUGGGUUUCCUGAAUACAGCACACUGAUGGGUCUUGACUCUUUAUCCAGUUUGCCAGUCUGUGUCUUUUAAUUGGAGCAUUUAGUCCAUUUACAUUUAAAGUUAAUAUUGUUAUGUGUGAAAAUGAUCCUGCCAUUAUGAUGUUAGCUGGUUAUUUGCUCAUUAGUUGAUGCAGCUUCUUCCUAGUCUCGGUGGUCUUUACAUUUUGGCAUGAACCACUUUGCACCUUAGGAGUAAAGCCUACUUAAUCAUUAACAUGCUUUUUAAAAACUACAUGUAUACACUAAUAAGUGUUUGGAGAAUGUAUGAGUAAUACCAGUACAUGAAACUAGAUUUUGAUAAACAGGUAUUAAAGUUUAAAUCUUAAGUCAAGCUUUGCGUUAGAUUUGUUACCGUUUAAAGGAAAUAAGUAUGGAGUGCAUUUUUACAGCAGAGCCUUAAUGUGGGGUUUUUUCCUCUCAAUAUUCUCUUGACUUCAAAGUAUAAUUAUCAUUAUUACAUUUCUCUUUAUACCAUGAGACCAUUAAAACGUAUAAAAAUUUUUCAGUUUUCUGCCUUCAUUACUUUCUGGAAUUAACAAAUGAUAAUGUGAAUUACUUUUACUCUUUCUUGAUUUUGGGGAUGCCUACUGGAAGUAGUAGCAUAAUCUGCAGAACUUUGGGAAGAGUAAAAAAUUUAGGCUUAAAAAAAAUUUAGGCUUUGUAAAGCCUGUAAUAAUACAGAAAAUAAAAUGUCCACUUUGUGUGGAAUUUAUGUAAGUAGUUACCUAUUAGAAUAAUGCAUUAAUAGAUCACAUCUAUUUAAUUGAAAUGUGACCUCGCAUGACUGCCUUGACUGUAUUUGAGAUGACCGACUUGAAAUACCCUUAGAAUUUAGUUCUUCCCUUUUUCCAUUUAAAUGACAAGCAAAAAUGGCUGGGCACAGUGGCUCAGCCUGUAAUCCCAGCAUCUGGGGAGACCGAGGUGGGCAGAUCACCUGAGGUCAGGAGUUUGAGACCAGCCUGACCAACAUGGGGAAACCUGUCUCUAGUAAAAAUACAAAAAAAUUAGCCAGGCGUGGUGGCGCAUGCCUGUAAUCCCAGCUACUUGGGAGGCUAAGACACGAGAAUUGCUUGAACCUAGGAGUUGGAGGUUGCAGUGAGCUGAGAUCAUGCUACUGCACUCCAGCCUGGGCAACAGAGCAAGACUGCAUCUCAAAAAAAAAACAAAACAAAA